rnacentral:lncRNA from 10 species
UUUUGAUUCUCACCCCUGAGACCAGCCCUUGGAAGCUCACACAGGAGCCGAGGCAGGGAACCUGGAGAGAAGAGGACAAACAGAGACUUCCCUCUGCUAAAUGAGAGUGAAUCCGCUGGCAAAGGUCUGACUCUGCGGAUUCCCUCCCACUCCACUCUGUGGUACCCACAAGGGCUGGGCUGCCAACCAGGCUUGCAGCAGAGGCCUCUGGGGUGAGCCUGGCUUAUCCUAGUCGGUUCCCCUUCACCUCAGAGCGAGUGAUUUAUGAGUAUCACAGCUACUGCUGAUUGAAUAUUCACUGCACAUAUAUGGGACGUCAGCUCUGAGUAGCAGAUCCUUGUCGGUAAACGGACUCCCAGAUCUCCCCCAGCCUUGGAUCCUUUCAGGACCACUGCGUGGAUCACAUGGCGAUGGUCACUGUUGUUCUUGCCUCUCCUCUGAGUUCCGGUCUCAUUUAUCCAACAGACAUCUUGACAUCUCCACCUGGAUGUUUUGAAGGCAACUCAAGCCAGUGUGCCUGGGUCUGAACUCCUGACCUUCCUUCCCAAACCUGCUCCUCCUGCUGUGUUUGCCUUUGGAGUGACUGCCACUUCUAUCCAUUAUAAGUCAGAAAUCACCUCCUCCUCAAUCUCCUUCCCUGGCUUAAUCCAUUUCAAAUUCCUUGUGAUUGUCCUUCCUAAAUACCUGCCAAGGGCGGCCACCCCUCCAGUCACCUCUGACAACUGCAGUGGUACCCGACCCAGCUCCCUGUGCAGACCAGGGCACCGCCCACAUCCACGUUUCACGACAGGAGCCAGAGUGAGCUUUUCCAACUGCAGAUCUGAUUGAUUUCAUUCUAGUUUCACUGUCAGCAAUCAAUGCCAUAUGAAAAUAUUUCACAGAAAAAUCCAACCCCUCCCAUUAUAAAUUGCCAUGCAGGCUUCUUCUGGGUUGAUUUCUCAUCUAGUUAUAAGGGCCAAGCUGUCUUCUGGGUCUCUUUGGACUGAGUCUCUCAGGUUUGGGGUCUGACCUUGAGGGUGGGUGGGACAGAUGUCACUGAUGGUUGAUGCCUUAGUUUGGGUUGUCCCAGGUGCAGAUUCCGAGACAAGAAUUUGAGAGCAAGUAGUUUAUUUGAGAGGUGACCUCAGGAAGCUCUGGCAGGGCUUUAGGAAGCGCAACAGGAAAGGGAGGAGGCCAAUUCAGGGCGUAGUAUUCAGCCAGCUGGUGCAGAGGACAGCUGGAGUUCAGUCCCAUGGAGAAAUCACACACAAUAGAGGAAUCCCAGGAGCGAGGGACAGGCGGUAUUUAUACACCAACUCCUAUGAGUUAUUACUUGGGGGUUGUUGGAGGUGAGUGUUAAUCCCCUGGCACCUCCCACCUGCCACAGGUGUGGGUAGAGUGGACUGCUGAGGUCAUGGACAAAAGCCUGCAGGCAAAAAGAAGAAGAUAUUGGCAGUUAGAAGUGGCUCUGAGCCUGCUGGAGGGUUCCAGGGCUAUGUGGAGGGCACGAACAGCAUCUGCUCCCCUGGGGAUGAUGACAGGUGACACUGGGUGACUCAGAUCUUCUUGCCAUAACAUGGAGACACAUGGUUAGAAAGCCAGUCCAUUGUCUCAAGGAGAAGAGUCCCAGUUUGGUGCUAAUAAUCUUAACACCUUUCCAACACUGUUCAUCUCCAUCUGGAACCAAGAAAGAGCCAGCCUUGGGCCUAGUGUCUUUGGUAGGCCGUCGUAUGUACCUACCUGCAAUUGAUGAUGUUGCUUUGGUUUCUACUUAAUGUUUUCCAAUAAACUUAAGCAUAUAA